UACGAAGGGGGCUAGCGUUGUUCGGAAUUACUGGGCGUAAAGCGCGCGCAGGCGGCCGUCCAAGUCAGUGGUGAAAGCCCGGAGCUCAACUCCGGAACUGCCAUUGAAACUGGUCGGCUAGAGUACGAGAGAGGUGAGUGGAAUUCCCAGUGUAGAGGUGAAAUUCGUAGAUAUUGGGAAGAACACCGGUGGCGAAGGCGGCUCACUGGCUCGUUACUGACGCUCAGGCGCGACAGCGUGGGGAUCAAACAGGA
rnacentral:rRNA from 1 species